CAGUUAUGGGUUAUAAGAGUUUGUGUGUGUGUAAGGGGGGAAAUGUUAUUAUAUGAAUCAAUCAUAUAAUGGAGAGAUACCAAACAAAACAAAAGAGAAGGAAGUGGAUAGUUAACUCCACAAUUCUUUGCAAAUUGGUGGGUAAGGGUCAUGAUGAUUUCAGGUGAGUGCAUUAAAUCUUUUUUUUUACUUCUUUACAAGCACAAAUCACUUUGAUGUUUCUCUUUCUGAAUCUUCUUUUUGACUCUGUUCAACACAAACAAACUAUGUUUCAUCUUGUAAAUUUAUCACUCUUUUUUUAGCAACAUAUGUUACGUGAGAAACCAGCUACACUUGUGUCUAGAGCCUUAAGUAUGCAGUUGUGAAAUUUAGUGCUAACUAGGUCGGUUAAGACCCUUUUGGCUAUAGCUAGUUGAUGAUUUAGAACAGGAGUGGCGUUUUUAGGGCAAUACAAAAUUACAAAUAGUUCAUUAUGAUACAAUUUGGAUCUUAGAGGCUGAGAGAAAGGAGUGUCUGUAAAGUGUUAGAUGUGCCUUGAUAGUUGAUACGAUAGUUGCCAAUUGGAAAUCUUGUUGAGAUCCAAUAUUCUUUGGAAUGAUAAUGGAUUUCGUAAUUUUCUUGAUCAUUUCCACUGAGAAUCCUGCUUCUGAACGGUGUAUUUUCACCGGAUCAAUCUCUCCGUCUACCACAUUUUCUUUUGGUUAAAGUCUCUCCGUCCACCACUUGGCGCUGUUACAUUCUCCCGCGAGUCCAACAUUGGAUGUGAUAUAGAGGCCUGGUGGACGCUUGUAAGAAUCAGUACAAAUUUACAGCCUUCAAACCUGUGUAAAAAUCCAAAUUUUUUAUCAUUAUGUUAUUAUUAAGACCAUACUUAUUGUUUGUCCAAUCACGAGCCAUACUAGAUUUACAAGUUAAUAUUCAAAUGUCUGUAAGACCAAA